rnacentral:rRNA from 1 species
UAGUGGCGAACGGGUGAGUAACACGUGAGUAACCUGCCCUUAACUCUGGGAUAAGCCUGGGAAACUGGGUCUAAUACCGGAUAUGACUCCUCAUCGCAUGGUGGGGGGUGGAAAGCUUUAUUGUGGUUUUGGAUGGACUCGCGGCCUAUCAGCUUGUUGGUGAGGUAAUGGCUUACCAAGGCGACGACGGGUAGCCGGCCUGAGAGGGUGACCGGCCACACUGGGACUGAGACACGGCCCAGACUCCUACGGGAGGCAGCAGUGGGGAAUAUUGCACAAUGGGCGCAAGCCUGAUGCAGCGACGCCGCGUGAGGGAUGACGGCCUUCGGGUUGUAAACCUCUUUCAGUAGGGAAGAAGCGAAAGUGACGGUACCUGCAGAAGAAGCGCCGGCUAACUACGUGCCAGCAGCCGCGGUAAUACGUAGGGCGCAAGCGUUAUCCGGAAUUAUUGGGCGUAAAGAGCUCGUAGGCGGUUUGUCGCGUCUGCCGUGAAAGUCCGGGGCUCAACUCCGGAUCUGCGGUGGGUACGGGCAGACUAGAGUGAUGUAGGGGAGACUGGAAUUCCUGGUGUAGCGGUGAAAUGCGCAGAUAUCAGGAGGAACACCGAUGGCGAAGGCAGGUCUCUGGGCAUUAACUGACGCUGAGGAGCGAAAGCAUGGGGAGCGAACAGGAUUAGAUACCCUGGUAGUCCAUGCCGUAAACGUUGGGCACUAGGUGUGGGGGACAUUCCACGUUUUCCGCGCCGUAGCUAACGCAUUAAGUGCCCCGCCUGGGGAGUACGGCCGCAAGGCUAAAACUCAAAGGAAUUGACGGGGGCCCGCACAAGCGGCGGAGCAUGCGGAUUAAUUCGAUGCAACGCGAAGAACCUUACCAAGGCUUGACAUGAACCGGUAAUACCUGGAGACAGGUGCCCCGCUUGCGGUCGGUUUACAGGUGGUGCAUGGUUGUCGUCAGCUCGUGUCGUGAGAUGUUGGGUUAAGUCCCGCAACGAGCGCAACCCUCGUUCUAUGUUGCCAGCACGUGAUGGUGGGGACUCAUAGGAGACUGCCGGGGUCAACUCGGAGGAAGGUGGGGACGACGUCAAAUCAUCAUGCCCCUUAUGUCUUGGGCUUCACGCAUGCUACAAUGGCCGGUACAAAGGGUUGCGAUACUGUGAGGUGGAGCUAAUCCCAAAAAGCCGGUCUCAGUUCGGAUUGGGGUCUGCAACUCGACCCCAUGAAGUCGGAGUCGCUAGUAAUCGCAGAUCAG